rnacentral:rRNA from 1 species
CAGCAGCCGCGGUAAUACGAAGGGGGCUAGCGUUGUUCGGAAUUACUGGGCGUAAAGCGCACGUAGGCGGAUAUUUAAGUCAGGGGUGAAAUCCCAGAGCUCAACUCUGGAACUGCCUUUGAUACUGGGUAUCUUGAGUAUGGAAGAGGUGAGUGGAAUUCCGAGUGUAGAGGUGAGAUUCGUAGAUAUUCGGAGGAACACCAGUGGCGAAGGCGGCUCACUGGUCCAUUACUGACGCUGAGGUGCGAAAGCGUGGGGAGCAAACAGGAUUAGAGACCCGCGUAGUCCCUGUCUCUUAUAC